UCUUCCCAUUUCCCUGCAAUUGCUUUUAGUACAAGAAUAUUGGGGGGAAGUUUAUAUCGAGUCUUUAGUGAAUAAGGGUUGUGCUCUGCAGCCCCACUAUUCACACCCAAACCUCCUCUUCACGCUAGCCUGCAUUCCCUUCUGGGUCAAGUCCAUGCAGCGAUGGUGAUACUGACCGCACCUCCAGCUCCAGGCAUGGUAUCCAUGUGGAGGAUCGAUUCUGUUUGGAUAUUCCCCGUGGGCAGACGUACCAUGCUGACAUUCUGCAGAGUCUGCAUGCGGAGAGCCUGAAACGACUCCAGCUGGUGCUGCAGGGCCUGUAACACAGUGAACAAGGCGUGGGGUUGAGCGUUUCGGGGAGGCGAACCUGUGCUUGAACUGCCAUGGCUUUGUGUGAGUUUCCCCGAAGACGCCACUUAGCAGGAAGGACCCCAGGAAGGCCAGGUGACGCACAGUCUUUGCCAUGCCUGCUAACUCCAAUGCAUCUUCCUGAAGAUUCUUGUGGAAAACCCAUACGCACUGAGAGAUUAUUUCUGAAAACGACCAGCCCUUUAUAAGCGUGUUUGGAGAAAAUAAAACAUACUCACUUUCA